GACGAACGCUGGCGGCGUGCUUAACACAUGCAAGUCGAGCGGUAAGGCUCCUUCGGGAGUACACGAGCGGCGAACGGGUGAGUAACACGUGAGCAAUCUGCCCUUCACUUCGGGAUAACCACCGGAAACGGUGGCUAAUACCGAAUACGACCACUCCAGGCAUCUGGUGGUGGUGGAAAGUUUCGGCGGUGGAGGAUGAGCUCGCGGCCUAUCAGCUUGUUGGUGGGGUAGUGGCCUACCAAGGCAACGACGGGUAGCCGGCCUGAGAGGGUGACCGGCCACACUGGGACUGAGACACGGCCCAGACUCCUACGGGAGGCAGCAGUGGGGAAUAUUGGACAAUGGGCGAAAGCCUGAUCCAGCAACGCCGCGUGAGGGAUGACGGCCUUCGGGUUGUAAACCUCUUUCAGCAGGGACGAAGCGCAAGUGACGGUACCUGCAGAAGAAGCACCGGCCAACUACGUGCCAGCAGCCGCGGUAAUACGUAGGGUGCGAGCGUUGUCCGGAAUUAUUGGGCGUAAAGGGCUCGUAGGCGGUUUGUCACGUCGGGAGUGAAAACACGGGGCUUAACUCCGUGCCUGCUUCCGAUACGGGCAGACUAGAGGUAUGCAGGGGAGAAUGGAAUUCCUGGUGUAGCGGUGAAAUGCGCAGAUAUCAGGAGGAACACCGGUGGCGAAGGCGGUUCUCUGGGCAUUACCUGACGCUGAGGAGCGAAAGUGUGGGGAGCGAACAGGAUUAGAUACCCUGGUAGUCCACACCGUAAACGUUGGGCGCUAGGUGUGGGACUCAUUCCACGAGUUCCGUGCCGCAGCUAACGCAUUAAGCGCCCCGCCUGGGGAGUACGGCCGCAAGGCUA
rnacentral:rRNA from 1 species